rnacentral:rRNA from 1 species
UACAGAGGGUGCAAGCGUUAAUCGGAAUUACUGGGCGUAAAGCGCGCGUAGGUGGUUCGUUAAGUUGGAUGUGAAAUCCCCGGGCUCAACCUGGGAACUGCAUUCAAAACUGACGAGCUAGAGUAUGGUAGAGGGUGGUGGAAUUUCCUGUGUAGCGGUGAAAUGCGUAGAUAUAGGAAGGAACACCAGUGGCGAAGGCGACCACCUGGACUGAUACUGACACUGAGGUGCGAAAGCUGGGGAGCAAACAGG